GAUCAUGGCUCAGAUUGAACGCUGGCGGCAGGCCUAACACAUGCAAGUCGAACGGUAACAGGAAGAAGCUUGCUUCUUUGCUGACGAGUGGCGGACGGGUGAGUAAUGUCUGGGAAACUGCCUGAUGGAGGGGGAUAACUACUGGAAACGGUAGCUAAUACCGCAUAACGUCGCAAGACCAAAGAGGGGGGACCUUCGGGCCUCUUGCCAUCGGAUGUGCCCAGAUGGGAUUAGCUAGUAGGUGGGGUAACGGCUCACCUAGGCGACGAUCCCUAGCUGGUCUGAGAGGAUGACCAGCCACACUGGAACUGAGACACGGUCCAGACUCCUACGGGAGGCAGCAGUGGGGAAUAUUGCACAAUGGGCGCAAGCCUGAUGCAGCCAUGCCCGCGUGUAUGAAGAAGGCCUUCGGGUUGUAAAGUACUUUCAGCGGGGAGGAAGGGAGUAAAGUUAAUACCUUUGCUCAUUGACGUUACCCGCAGAAGAAGCACCGGCUAACUCCGUG
rnacentral:rRNA from 1 species